AGAGUUUGAUCAUGGCUCAGARCGAACGUUAGCGGCGCGCUUAACACAUGCAAGUCGCACGAGAAAGGGCUUCGGCCCCGGUAAAGUGGCGCACGGGUGAGUAACACGUGGGUAAUCUGCCCUCCGCUGGGGGAUAACAUUCCGAAARGRRKKSYWAWWACCGCAUAAGACCACGACCUCGAAAGAGGAUGCGGUCAAAGCAGGCCUCUUCAUGAAAGCUUGCGACGGAGGAUGAGCCCGCGGCCCAUCAUGGUAGUUGGUAGGGUAAUGGCCUACCAAGCCGAAGACGGGUAGCUGGUCUGAGAGGAUGAUCAGCCACACUGGAACUGAGACACGGUCCAGACUCCUACGGGAGGCAGCAGUGGGGAAUCUUGCGCAAUGGGCGAAAGCCUGACGCAGCGACGCCGCGUGGGUGAUGAAAGCCUUCGGGUUGUAAAGCCCUGUGGGGCGGGACGAAUAAGUCGUGGCUAACAUCCACGAUGAUGACGGUACCGCCUUAGCAAGCACCGGCUAACUCUGUGCCAGCCGCCGCGGUAAUUCA
rnacentral:rRNA from 1 species